UUCCUCCUCCUCCCUCUCUGGUUGAUCACAAUUAACAUACUCUGCAGCACAUGCCGAAAGCUCGUGAGAGACUGAAAUCUGACAUUUUUCUUGGAAUUUAUAUAAAGUGGGAAACUGUUAAGAAAAUCUUGCGGCAGGGAACUGCAGGAAAUCAGAGAACAUGGAAGAGGUCUUUGUAAUAGAGAAAUUACACUCACACCAAGUUGGAGUCUCAGGCUCGCCCCCUUUAGAUACUGAAAGGCCGCUCUCAGGUCCACUGGAGCCUUCUGUUCUACAG